rnacentral:rRNA from 1 species
UGGGGAAUAUUGGACAAUGGGCGAAAGCCUAAUCCAGCCAUGCCGCGUGUGUGAAGAAGGUCUUCGGAUAGUAAAGCACUUUAAGUUGGGAGGAAGGCCAGUAAGCGAAUACCUUGCUGUUUUGACGUUACCGACAGAAUAAGCACCGGCUAACUCGGUGCCAGCAGCCGCGGUAAUACAGAGGGUGCAAGCGUUAAUCGGAAUUACUGGGCGUAAAGCGCGCGUAGGUGGUUCGUUAAGUUGAAUGUGAAAGCCCCGGGCUCAACCUGGGAACUGCAUCCAAAACUGGCGAGCUAGAGUAGGGCAGAGGGUGGUGGAAUUUCCUGUGUAGCGGUGAAAUGCGUAGAUAUAGGAAGGAACACCAGUGGCGAAGGCGACCACCUGGGCUCAUACUGACACUGAGGUGCGAAAGCGUGGGGAGCAAACAGG